rfam:Tannerella forsythia 92A2, complete genome.
AUAGCGGAAGCCGAAAAGCUAAGAGUAGGCA